rnacentral:tmRNA from 1 species
GGGGGUGACUUGGCUUCGACAGGAGUAGUGGAGUCACGGCGGCAUGCAGCUUUGGGCAAAGCUUAAAAAGCCCAAAAUAAAAUUAAACGCAAACAACGUUAAAUUUGCUCCUGCUUACGCUAAAGCUGCGUAAGUCCAGUUGAGCCCUGCGAAACUUCAAUGCUAUCUAGAAGCUUUAGCGGGUAAUUUUUGAUAGCUUAGAUUAGAGAAUUGACGAAUCUAUAAUUGAAGUUAUAGUCUUAGCUUGGUUGAUCGCUUUGGGAAGUGAGCGCGACUAAGUGAAACUCUCACUUCUGCUAAGCAUGUAGAGGCUAUGAAUCUAUUAUUUUUGGACUGCGGUUCGAUCCCGCACACCUCCACCA